AUUGAACGCUGGCGGCAGGCCUAACACAUGCAAGUCGAACGGUAGCACAGAGAGCUUGCUCUCGGGUGACGAGUGGCGGACGGGUGAGUAAUGUCUGGGAAACUGCCCGAUGGGGGGGGAUAACUACUGGAAACGGUAGCUAAUACCGCAUAACGUCUUCGGACCAAAGUGGGGGACCUUCGGGCCUCACACCAUCGGAUGUGCCCAGAUGGGAUUAGCUAGUAGGUGGGGUAAUGGCUCACCUAGGCGACGAUCCCUAGCUGGUCUGAGAGGAUGACCAGCCAAACUGGAACUGGGACACGGUCCAGACGCCUACGGGAGGCAGCAGUGGGGAAUAUUGCACAAUGGGCGCAAGCCUGAUGCAGCCAUGCCGCGUGUAUGAAGAAGGCCUUCGGGUUGGAAAGUACUUUCAGCGGGGAGGAAGGCGAUGUGGUUAAUAACCGCAUCGAUUGACGUUACCCGCAGAAGAAGCACCGGCUAACUCCGUGCCAGCCGCCGCCGUAA
rnacentral:rRNA from 1 species